rnacentral:rRNA from 1 species
AUUGAACGCUGGCGGCAGGCCUAACACAUGCAAGUCGAACGGUAACAGGAAGCAGCUUGCUGCUUCGCUGACGAGUGGCGGACGGGUGAGUAAUGUCUGGGAAGCUUCCUGAUGGAGGGGGAUAACUACUGGAAACGGUAGCUAAUACCGCAUAAUGUCGCAAGACCAAAGAGGGGGACCUUCGGGCCUCUUGCCAUCGGAUGUGCCCAGAUGGGAUUAGCUUGUUGGUGGGGUAACGGCUCACCAAGGCGACGUUCCCUAGCUGGUCUGAGAGGAUGACCAGCCACACUGGAACUGAGACACGGUCCAGACUCCUACGGGAGGCAGCAGUGGGGAAUAUUGCACAAUGGGCGCAAGCCUGAUGCAGCCAUGCCGCGUGUAUGAAGAAGGCCUUCGGGUUGUAAAGUACUUUCAGCGGGGAGGAAGGGAGUAAAGUUAAUACCUUGGCUCAUUGACGUUACCCGCAGAAGAAGCACCGGCUAACUCCGUG